AUUGAACGCUGGCGGCAGGCCUAACACAUGCAAGUCGAGCGGAGCGGCGGACGGGUGAGUAAUGCCUAGGAAUCUGCCUGGGAGUGGGGGAUAACGUCCGGAAACGGGCGCUAAUACCGAAUACUAUCAGAUGAGCCUAGGACGGAUUAGCAAGUUGGUGGGGUAAAGGCCUCACAAGGCGACGAUCCGUAACUGGUCUGCGAGGAUGAUCAGUCACACUGGAACGGAGCCACUGUCCAUACUCCUACGGGAGGCAGCAGUUGGUAAUAUUGGACAAUGGGCGAAAGCCUGAUCCAGCCAUGCCGAGUGUGUGAAGAAGGUCUUCGUAUUGUAAAGCACUUUAAGUUGGGGGGCCUUACCAACAGAAUAAGCACCGGCUAACUUCGUGCCAGCAGCCGCGGUAAUUC
rnacentral:rRNA from 1 species